UACGGGGGGAGCAAGCGUUGUUCGGAUUUACUGGGCGUAAAGGGCGCGUAGGCGGCCACCGCAAGUCGACUGUGAAAUCUCCGGGCUUAACUCGGAAAGGUCAGCCGAUACUGCGGGGCUAGAGUGCAGAAGGGGCAACUGGAAUUCUCGGUGUAGCGGUGAAAUGCGUAGAUAUGCGGAGGAACACCGAUGGCGAAGGCAAUCCCCUGGGCCUGCACUGACGCUCAUGCACGAAAGCGUGGGGAGCAAACAGG
rnacentral:rRNA from 1 species